CUUUCAUGUCUUAUGUAGUAUCUUCAGAUUACGAAAGAAGACUUCAGUCUCUUGAAGCUAAACUUAAAAAUGAAGUUUCUACUUCUGCGAAUAAAAUUUCAGAACUUCUCAAAAGGAAUGAUCAACUGGAUGAGAAGGAGAAGAAACAACUUGGGGAUAUUGAAGAACUGAAGAAACAACUUGAGGAGUCCAAAAGACUAUCAGACGAAUUGAGUGCGAAGUUCACUGCUCGUGAUUCCAAAUAUCGAAAGCUUAAGAAGAAUUAUAUUACAACUGUCUCAAACAAUAGCAAGGAUGCUCUUCACGCUCGUGAUGCAGCAAUUAAGAUAGUCUGCGAAGACAAUAAUAUUCCUCUUGUGAAGUAUGAAUAUUAUUUUUACAAGAACAUCAUCAUUUAGAGGAACAUCACCAAAUUCAUACUUCACAAGAAAUGUUGUAUUGCAGAAGCUUUAUGGUAGUUAUGAGGAGAAAUACAACAAAAUUCCCGCAUUCUGUGAAAUGGUGAAGGAAAAUAUGCCUGGCAGUGUAGCUACUUUCUCAUAUGGAAGCACAAAUGGUGUGGUUGGAAAACACACAAAAACUCUUGCAAGUAUACAAGGCCAAGUUUUAGUAUAGAAAGUAAGCAAGGGAUCAUUCCAC